rnacentral:rRNA from 1 species
GUGCAGCAGGCGCGAAAACUCCGCAAUACGCGCAAGCGUGACGGGGGGACCCCAAGUACACUUGCAUUUAGUAAGUGUUUUUGUAGAGUGUAAAUAGCUCUGCGAAUAAAAGCGGGGUAAGACCGGUGCCAGCCGCCGCGGUAACACCGGCCGCUUGAGUGGUGACCGCUAUUAUUGGGCCUAAAGCGUCCGUAGCCGGUUUGGCGAGUCCUUGGGUAAAUCCACUCGUUCCACGAAUGGAAUUCUGAGGAUACUGCCAGACUCGGGGGCGGGAGAUGCGAGAGGUACUCCUAGGGUAUCGGUGAAAUCCUAUAAUCCUAGGGGGACCACCAGUGGCGAAGGCGUUCUGCGAGAACGGGCUCGACGGUGAGGGACGAAAGCCAGGGGCGCAAACGGGAUUAGAUACCCCGGUAGUCC